rnacentral:rRNA from 1 species
GCGAGUGAAGCGACAAAAGCUCAAAUUUGAAAUCUGGCGCCUUCGGUGUCCGAGUUGUAAUUUGAAGAAGGUAACUUUGGUUUUGGCUCUUGUCUAUGUUCCUUGGAACAGGACGUCACAGAGGGUGAGAAUCCCGUGCGAUGAGAUGCCCAAUUCCAUGUAAAGUGCUUUCGAAGAGUCGAGUUGUUUGGGAAUGCAGCUCUAAGUGGGUGGUAAAUUCCAUCUAAAGCUAAAUAUUGGCGAGAGACCGAUAGCGAACAAGUACAGUGAUGGAAAGAUGAAAAGAACUUUGAAAAGAGAGUGAAAAAGUACGUGAAAUUGUUGAAAGGGAAGGGCUUGAGAUCAGACUUGGUAUUUUGUAUGUCUUGCUUUCGGGUAGGGCCUCUGCAGUUUAUCGGGCCAGCAUCAGUUUGGAUGGUAGGAUAAUGACAUUGGAACGUAGCACUGCUUCGGUGGUGUGUUAUAGACUUUGUUGAUACUGCCUGUCUAGACUGAGGACUGCGUCUUUUGACUAGGAUGCUGGCAUAAUGAUCCUAAGCCACCC